rnacentral:rRNA from 1 species
AGAUUAAGUUAUUAAGGGCGCACGGUGGAUGCCUUGGCACUAGAAGCCGACGAAGGACGUUACUAACGACGAUAUGCUUUGGGGAGCUGUAAGUAAGCUUUGAUCCAGAGAUUUCCGAAUGGGGAAACCCAGCACGAGUUAUGUCGUGUUAUCGAUAUGUGAAUACAUAGCAUAUCUGAAGGCAGACGCGGAGAACUGAAACAUCUUAGUACCCGCAGGAAGAGAAAGAAAAAUCGAUUCCCUGAGUAGCGGCGAGCGAAACGGGAAGAGCCCAAACCAACGAGCUUGCUUGUUGGGGUUGUAGGACACUCUAUACGGAGUUACAAAAGAACAGACUAGACGAAUCAUCUGGAAAGAUGAAUCAAAGAAGGUAAUAAUCCUGUAGUCGAAAGUUUGUUCACUCUUGAGUGGAUCCUGAGUACGACGGAACACGAGAAAUUCCGUCGGAAUCUGGGAGGACCAUCUCCCAAGGCUAAAUACUUUCUAGUGACCGAUAGUGAACCAGUACCGUGAGGGAAAGGUGAAAAGUACCCCGGAAGGGGAGUGAAAUAGAACUUGAAACCGUGUGCUUACAAGUAGUCAGAGCCCGUUAAUGGGUGAUGGCGUGCCUUUGUAGAAUGAACCGGCGAGUUACGAUUUGAUGCAAGGUUAAGCAGUGAAUGUGGAGCCGUAGCGAAAGCGAGUCUGAAUAGGGCGUUGAGUAUUUGGUCGUAGACCCGAAACCAGGUGAUCUACCCAUGACCAGGUUGAAGUUCAGGUAACACUGAAUGGAGGACCGAACCGACUUACGUUGAAAAGUGAGCGGAUGAGUUGUGGGUAGCGGAGAAAUUCCAAUCGAACCUGGAGAUAGCUGGUUCUCUCCGAAAUAGCUUUAGGGCUAGCCUCAAGUGAUGAUUAUUGGAGGUAGAGCACUGUUUGGACGAGGGGCCCUUAUCGGGUUACCGAAUUCAGACAAACUCCGAAUGCCAAUCAAUUUAACUUGGGAGUCAGAACGCGGGUGAUAAGGUCCGUGUUCGAAAGGGAAACAGCCCAGACCACCAGCUAAGGUCCCAAAAUAUAUGUUAAGUGGAAAAGGAUGUGGCGUUGCCCAGACAACUAGGAUGUUGGCUUAGAAGCAGCCAUCAUUUAAAGAGUGCGUAAUAGCUCACUAGUCGAGUGACACUGCGCCGAAAAUGUACCGGGGCUAAACAUAUUACCGAAGCUGUGGAUUGUCCGUAAGGACAAUGGUAGGAGAGCGUUCUAAGGGCGUUGAAGCAUGAUCGCAAGGACAUGUGGAGCGCUUAGAAGUGAGAAUGCCGGUGUGAGUAGCGAAAGACGGGUGAGAAUCCCGUCCACCGAUUGACUAAGGUUUCCAGAGGAAGGCUCGUCCGCUCUGGGUUAGUCGGGUCCUAAGCUGAGGCCGAUAGGCGUAGGCGAUGGAUAACAGGUUGAUAUUCCUGUACCACCAUUAUUCGUUUUAAGCGAUGGGGGACGCAGUAGGAUAGGCGAAGCGUACGAUUGGAUUGUACGUCCAAGCAGUGAGAUUGAGUGUUAGGCAAAUCCGGCACUCUUAAGAUUGAGCUGUGAUGGGGAGAGGAAAUUGUUUCCUCGAGUCGUUGAUUUCACACUGCCAAGAAAAGCCUCUAGCUAGAAUUGUGGUGCCCGUACCGCAAACCGACACAGGUAGUCAAGAUGAGAAUUCUAAGGUGAGCGAGCGAACUCUCGUUAAGGAACUCGGCAAAAUGACCCCGUAACUUCGGGAGAAGGGGUGCUCUUUAGGGUUAACGCCCAGGAGAGCCGCAGUGAAUAGGCCCAAGCGACUGUUUAUCAAAACACAGGUCUCUGCUAAACCGUAAGGUGAUGUAUAGGGGCUGACGCCUGCCCGGUGCUGGAAGGUUAAGAGGAGUGGUUAGCUUCUGCGAAGCUACGAAUCGAAGCCCCAGUAAACGGCGGCCGUAACUAUAACGGUCCUAAGGUAGCGAAAUUCCUUGUCGGGUAAGUUCCGACCCGCACGAAAGGCGUAACGAUUUGGGCACUGUCUCAACGAGAGACUCGGUGAAAUCAUAGUACCUGUGAAGAUGCAGGUUACCCGCGACAGGACGGAAAGACCCCGUGGAGCUUUACUGUAGUCUGAUAUUGAAAUUCGGCACAGCUUGUACAGGAUAGGUAGGAGCCUGAGAUACGUGAGCGCUAGCUUACGUGGAGGCGUUGGUGGGAUACUACCCUCGCUGUGUUGGAUUUCUAACCCGCACCAUUUAUCAUGGUGGGAGACAGUGUCAGAUGGGCAGUUUGACUGGGGCGGUCGCCUCCUAAAGAGUAACGGAGGCGCUCAAAGGUUUCCUCAGAAUGGUUGGAAAUCAUUCAUAGAGUGUAAAGGCAUAAGGAAGCUUGACUGCGAGACUUACAAGUCGAGCAGGGUCGAAAGACGGACUUAGUGAUCCGGUGGUUCCGCAUGGAAGGGCCAUCGCUCAACGGAUAAAAGCUACCCCGGGGAUAACAGGCUUAUCUCCCCAAGAGUUCACAUCGACGGGGAGGUUUGGCACCUCGAUGUCGGCUCAUCGCAUCCUGGGGCUGUAGUCGGUCCCAAGGGUUGGGCUGUUCGCCCAUUAAAGCGGUACGCGAGCUGGGUUCAGAACGUCGUGAGACAGUUCGGUCCCUAUCCGUCGUGGGCGUAGGAAAUUUGAGAGGAGCUGUCCUUAGUACGAGAGGACCGGGAUGGACAUACCUCUGGUGUACCAGUUGUCGUGCCAACGGCAUCGCUGGGUAGCUAUGUAUGGACGGGAUAAGUGCUGAAAGCAUCUAAGCAUGAAGCCCCCCUCAAGAUGAGAUUUCCCAACUUCGGUUAUAAGAUCCCUCAAAGAUGAUGAGGUUAAUAGGUUCGAGGUGGAAGCAUAGCGAUAUGUGCAGCUGACGAAUACUAAUCGAUCGAAGACUUAAUCAAAUUUUA